rnacentral:RNase_P_RNA from 1 species
GGAAUCGGCUAGGCAGUCGCUGCUUUAAGACAUCUUAAGGUGGAGGAAAGUCCGGGCUCCACAGGGCAAGGUGCCAGGUAACGCCUGGGAGGCGCGAGCCUACGGAAAGUGCCACAGAAAAUAUACCGCCCCGCAAGGGGUAAGGGUGAAAUGGUGCGGUAAGAGCGCACCGCGCCGAUGGCAACAUCGGUGGCAGGGUAAACCCCACCUGGAGCAAGACCGAAUAGGGGGACCAUGAUGCGGCCCGCAUCGUCCCCGGGUAGGUUGCUAGAGGCGCCUGGUGACAGGCGUCCCAGAGGAAUGACUGCCCACGACAGAACCCGGCUUACCGGCCGAUUCCCACC